rnacentral:rRNA from 1 species
UGGGGAAUUUUGGACAAUGGGCGCAAGCCUGAUCCAGCCAUGCCGCGUGCGGGAAGAAGGCCUUCGGGUUGUAAACCGCUUUUGUCAGGGAAGAAAUCUUCUGAGUUAAUACCUCGGGAGGAUGACGGUACCUGAAGAAUAAGCACCGGCUAACUACGUGCCAGCAGCCGCGGUAAUACGUAGGGUGCAAGCGUUAAUCGGAAUUACUGGGCGUAAAGCGUGCGCAAGGCGGUUUUGUAAGACAGAGGUGAAAUCCCCGGGCUCAACCUGGGAACUGCCUUUGUGACUGCAAGGCUUGAGUGCGGCAGAGGGGGGAUGGAAUUCCGCGUGUAGCAGUGAAAUGCGUAGAUAUGCGGAGGAACACCGAUGGCGAAGGCAAUCCCCUGGGCCUGCACUGACGCUCAUGCACGAAAGCGUGGGGAGCAAACGGGAUUAGAUACCCUGGGUAGUCCACGCCCUAAACGAUGUCAACUGGUUGUUGGGAAGGUUCCUUCUCAGUAACGUAGCUAACGCGUGAAGUUGGACCGCC